UAGGAGUCGGGUGUGCAUUAAGAAGGGAUCUAUUGACCCUAGCAGAAGAAAGUAGUCCUAUAAAAUUUAAGAGGCUGAGUCCUUAAGUCUAUGGCCAUAGCAGUGUGAUUGAUGGAAAAAAAUUUUUAUAAAGCUACAUAUGGACUCAAGCUGAUUGAAUCUAUCAUAUGAUCAAUGUUGAGGUUUGACGAUUUAUCCAUGACCUACCAUUUGGUCGAGACUCACGAUAGAGAGACUGUAUCAUAC
rnacentral:lncRNA from 1 species